rnacentral:rRNA from 1 species
GGGGAAUUUUCCGCAAUGGGCGCAUAGCCUGACGGAGCAAUACCGCGUGAGGGAAGAAGGCUCUUGGGUCGUAAACCUCUUUUGUCAGGGAAGAAGAAAGUGACGGUACCUGACGAAUCAGCCUCGGCUAACUCCGUGCCAGCAGCCGCGGUAAUACGGAGGAGGCAAGCGUUAUCCGGAAUUAUUGGGCGUAAAGCGUCCGCAGGUGGCUAGUCAAGUCGGCGGUCAAAGACUGGGGCUCAACUCCAGAAAAGCCGUGGAAACUGACAAGCUAGAGGGCGGUAGGGGUAGAGGGAAUUCCCGGUGUAGCGGUGAAAUGCGUAGAGAUCGGGAAGAACAUCGGUGGCGAAAGCGCUCUACUGGACCGCAUCUGACACUAAUGGACGAAAGCUAGGGGAGCGAAUGGGAUUAGAUACCCCA